UUGAAUAUUUAAAUGAACCAAAUCCAAACUGUUUUUUAUGCUUAUUUGUUUUUUUAUGUAACUUCUCCCACCAAGGCUGAAGGUACAUGCCAGAACACGUCUGGCUGACAUGAGAUUGAUUGAUGCUAAGGUGGCCCAUUUCCUGCCCUUUACCUUAUUGUUGACUCCCCAUAGAGUUUUUGAUGCUGCUAAGGUUGGAAAUUUGUUACUAAUUGAUCAGUAUAUGAAGCAGAUCAUGGUGUUUAUGUAACUUUUUAAACUAAAUGUUGUGCAUAGACCUUGGGAAAAGGAGAUUGCAUUCUCUAAAUGGGUCUAUCCUUGCUUGAAAUUCUUGCAAUGAUGCAGUGAUGGAUGUGUUUGCUGACCUGCCUGAUAGAUGUAAAGGGCUUAGUUUAGUUGAGUCUAAUUUUUCAGUAUUCAUCAAGGUGAACUAUUGAUUGCUCUGCUUUCUACAUUGGCUCCUAAGUGCCAAUGAAUUUAUUCCUUUCGUAGUUAGAUCUUGGACUGUCUUUUAAGAUUUAUUAUGAGUUUCUUCUUGAUUGCAUUUUAUGUCUUGGGUGUUUUUUUCUUUCUGUACAAAUUAUGUAAUCAAUAUUUGUCAAAAGUGGCAAACAUUCAUUUUUCAUAAAUGAUGAUUCUAUAUCCGUAUAUAUAUAUAUAUAUUGUCUCAGUAUUCGUAUGACCUCCUUCUGCAAUAUCUUCAGAAGACAUUGGCACUAACUAUGCUUGGAAUAAUAAAUGAGCAUAUUAAUUUCCAAGGAUUUCAUGUCCUAAAUACAUCCAUCAGUUAAUACGCAGGCGGAAGGUGAAGCUUCUCAAAAUAAACUUUUGUUGGGAUCUGAUGAUGGAAAAAGAUCGUAUACAUUAUUUCAGGGUCAUACUGGUCCUGUAUAUUCAGCAACAUUUUGCCCUUUCGGUGAAUUUCUUCUAUCUUCUUCAUCAGACUCAACAAUAAAAUUAUGGAGCACUAAAUUAAACUCCAAUCUUGUCUGUUACAAAGGCCACAACUACCCAAUAUGGGAUGUUCAGUGAAUACAAUGGCACCCAAAUUGUAACUGUAUCUCAACUGGUUCAAGUGACAAAACAGUCAGAUUAUGGGAUGUGCAAAGUGGAGAAUGUGUUUGCAUUUUCAUUGGUCAUAGAGGCAUGGUAUUAUCACUUGCAAUUUCUCCUGAUGGUCGAUACAUGGCUUCCGGUGAUGAAGAUGGUACUAUUAUGGUCUGGGAUCUUUCGACUUGUCGGUGUGUUUCGCCAUUAAUGGCGCACUCUUCUUGUGUGUGGACUCUUGCUCUCAGGUGGGGCAUGCUUAUAUCUUGCACCUUCUUUUCAUUGAAUUUCUACUUCCUACUGUUGGAGACCCAUGUAUAUUGGACCCAUCUUAGUUUUUCAAAGCAUUCCUAUAUU